rnacentral:rRNA from 1 species
AUUGAACGCUGGCGGCAUGCCUUACACAUGCAAGUCGAACGGCAGCACGGGAGCAAUCCUGGUGGCGAGUGGCGAACGGGUGCGUAAUAUAUCGGAACGUGCCCAGUCGGGGGGGAUAACGUAGCGAAAGCUACGCUAAUGCCGCAUACGAUCUAUGGAUGAAAGCGGGGGAUCGCAAGACCUCGCGCGAUUGGAGCGGCCGAUAUCAGAUUAGGUAGCUGGUGAGGUAAAGGCUCACCAAGCCGACGAUCUGUAGUUGGUCUGAGAGGAGGACCAGCCACACUGGGACUGAGACACGGCCCAGACUCCUACGGGAGGCAGCAGUGGGGAAUUUUGGACAAUGGGCGCAAGCCUGAUCCAGCAAUGCCGCGUGCAGGAUGAAGGCCUUCGGGUUGUAAACUGCUUUUGUACGGAACGAAACGGUGAGCUCUAAUACAGUUUGCUAAUGACGGUACCGUAAGAAUAAGCACCGGCUAACUACGUGCCAGCCGCCGCAGUAACAC